UUUUUUAAAAGCAAUAGCAGAGAAACUCUCUGCUAGGGUUUCUUUUCCAUGCCGCCGCCGCCGCUCAAGCCAUUCCACGGCCUCCGACGAUGCUCCGACCUCCGAUCGCGACGGAGGGGGACCGAUUCGACGGUUUCAGCUAAAGGCAAGCCUUUUCCUCUCUUUUCUUUGUUGUUUUAAGUAAACUAAAACGAAAAUAAAAGAAAAAAUAAUAUAGAUAUAUACAAAAAGAAACGAUGAACCAAGUAGAAAACCUUCGAAAAAUAAAUUUUCUCUGUAUUUCUUUUCUAUUUCUCGUAUAUCUCCGUCCUCUUUUACACCAAAAAUCCCCUCUGUAUUUUUUUUUGUACAUGAAAAUAGGGCUUUUAUAGCCCGAAAUAAUAAAAAUAAAUCCUAUUUCGUUUGCUAUUAUCCCUUUUUCUUGCUGUUUUGUUUCUGUUUGUUGUGCAGGUGCGGCGCGCAAGCCAUGGCGCGCGUUGAGGAGAUUGGCUCCGAAGUUUGGGGCGGCUGGAGAGGGGAAGUCAUACUGCUUAGGGUUUGGGUUGGUUUAUUUUUUGCUGGGCUAGGAAUUGUUUUGGGCUUGUUUAUUUGGUUUUAGUGGCCCGGGCAAUUUGGGCUUUGUACAAUUAAUAUUUAUUAAUUAAAAAAUUUUACAAUUUAUAUUUUAUAUAUUUUAAUAUUAACAAGUUAUAAUAA
rnacentral:lncRNA from 1 species